ensembl:lncRNA
GCCUUGGUGAUUAUCCCAGCCAUGUAAAAUAUAACUGAAAUUCAAUUGGCUGAUUCCUGACAUCGUCAUCUAAAAUAAUCCAUCCCUUUUUCGUGUUUGGACAGUAUAUAAACAGACAGAAUUUCAUCUUUCCCGUGGCACUCAGUAACAUCAUUCUUACGGCUACGUGGAUCGAAAGUGGGUGGGAAUCUGCCACGAUUGACAUUUGUUCAAUGGCAGCUGCUGACGGUGUGGAGAGACUCACACGGUUUGAAUAAAAUGGCCCGAGAGAGUCACCUGUUGAUCCUGUCGUGAUAUGGUGGCAAGUUAUUUCAGCCGGAAGACUGAAUGGCGAAUGUCACACGUGCUGUUGGGCGUCUUUCAGCACUGAAGAAGAGAACAGCUCCCACGGUGUGCCCUCAAGUCUUGUCGAUGGAAGAUGGACAUCACAGCCAGGGGGUUUGGGGAUGAUCAGCACUGAUGGAUUUGGCCUAAAUGAAUGGGGACCUGGGGGAAGAAACAUGGAGACAUUUUGAAGAGGGAUUGACCUGCUCUGAGUGCUGGGUGGAAGACUAGUGAUUUUGUUGUGAAAUUGAACAGACACUAACAACAAAACCCAGUCUGCCUCCCAGCACAGGGUACGGGGCUGCAGUGUCUUUUUUCACAUCUGGAUUUGAGCAGAAGGAUAGCCCACAUGCCUUGAUCAUCUUUAGCAAGAUGUAAGAAUUCUAUAAUAAAAUGAAUAUACUUGGUCCAUUUUUUUUUAUUCAGAUUUAUUAUAAUAAUAUCUACAAAAGUAUGUUUUUGUGAUAUGCCUUCAUGUUUUCAAUAACUGAUCAAUAAAAAAACACUACUUAUUGUUCUUACUUUCUAUGGAACAUAGAGCUGGUUUGUUUUUGGUAUAGGUGUAAGGUUGUGGGCUAGAGAGAUCUUUGUACAUGCACCUUAAUAUUGGCUCAAGGAAUUACAGUCCGCCCCAGUAGGCAGGCUACUAGGCUAUAGCUUGCUAUUAUAAGCUGUUCCAGCUCAGUGGGCAGUAGACUACCAGGAAAUUUAGCCUAACACCCCAAGGUAAAAUUCUACAUAUUUCACCAUUUAUCAUGCUUCUGGUUUCAAAGAGAACACAAACUAGUUAAUUAGCCCUACACUUGUUCGUUGAGAAACAAUCACAAUGAAAACAAGGCAAGGGUUAGGAUUGACGGUAAAGUAGUGUAAUGUAAUGUAAAAGCCCUGAGGUGGAGAGUUUCAGUAGUGUGUUUUUUUCAUUGACAUACACGAACACACUAUUUCACACAUAUCUUUAAAUUAACUCGUGGGAUGCAAUACAGUAAAUCAAUUAAACUGUACUGCAACCAUUUCACAAACCAUCUCCUAGACAGUGGGGAAAGUUAGCCUAACUGGUUGUUAGUUUAGUCUCGUCGGCUGACCGACUCAAAUUACGAUGUGCGAAAACAGCACGAUAGGCCUACAUGAAAAAACACUUUGAUUAGGCUACACACCAGGCACUACAAACAGCUCCCAUGCACGAUGAAGAACUCAUACCUGAAAUUCUGAGUUUCAGUAAGUAUUGGCUUUUCCAAUGACACAUGAACUCACCAUUUCCUUUAGGCAUAUCUUCUUAUCAACUUGUGUGUGUAGAAACCUAGCUGAAGAACUGUACGCUAAAUUGAACUUGAGUGAUAACUGAAAUUGAACGUGAAAGCCUG